AUGGCCGAAACACACAAUCCACCGGUCUUUUCCCCGAAAACUCUUUACCAAUCGAGCGUGUUGGCAAUCGCGAAUAAAUUUCUAAGGCUGAGGAAGUAUCUUCCUGAUCUACCGAACGAUGUCCUGUUUGAUGUUUAUUAUCAGUUGUACAAAGAAAAAAGAUUAUGUUUACUGGGGUGUGACUUCAACAAUCUGGAAAUCUUCUCCAAGAUGUUAACAGUCACUAGCCGUCGUGUACAUUUACUACAGAGCUUUCAGAGCCUUAUAGAUCAUAAAAUACGAGUUGAAGAAGAGUUGAGCAUGAGUUACACAGUAUGCUAUCUCCAUGUUAGUGAAAAUCCAGCUGCAGAUGAGAAAUUAAUAAACCUAGGCUUAAGAAUUGGUGGAUUUUUCAGUGAUGGUGGUUGGUAUGCUAAAAGUGAACAGGUGUUGCUAGCAUGCAAACAAUUAUGUCUUGCGAAUAAUUCAACGCCUCAGAAUUGGUGUAGAACAUUAGAAUGUUGCAGAAAGUUGUUACACGUACAAGCAGCGUAUUGCGAAUUUUUACAAGCUGCAAAAACACAUCAGCUUGCUAUAGAGUUAAUAGAACGAUUAAAAGAGGCCGGGUACAAUGAUUACAAUUAUGCAGCUAUAUAUACUGAGUUUAGUAUACUUUUUUAUAUGAAAAGCGAGUAUGAUGAGGCCUACAGAUGGAGUAUAGAAGCACUUGAAGAGUUGAAACCAGGGUUGUCUGCGCGUGUUACUGUUGAUGUGUUAAGGCAGGCGGCAAAAUCGUGUGUAUUAAAACGCGAGUUUCAGAGAGCUGGCCUUUUAAUCAGGCAGGCUGUAUAUCUUGCCAAAGAAGUAUUUGGUAUUGAUCAUCCAGUGUACAGUAACGUCCUUAUAGAUUAUGGAUUUUACUGGUUAAACUUUGAUAACAUAAUCAACAGUGUAAACCUUUAUAGGGACGCUUUAGCUAUUAGAACAGAAAUAUUUGGUAAAAUGAAUUUACACGUUGCGUUAGCGCACGAGGAUUUAGCUUAUGCUCUUUACGUAUUUGAGUAUAGGUCUGGCGAAUUUCCAGAAGCAAGUGUUCACAUUGAGAAAGCAAUAGACAUAAUGUUAAACCUUUUACAUGGGGAUCAUUUGUUGUUAGCAAGCGCAAAAAGAAUAAAUGCAUUAAUUCUCGAAGAAAUAGCGUUAGAUAAUACAUCGUCGCCAUUGUCGAAACAAAAUCUACUAUUCAAGGCUGAAUGCCUUCAUUUAUCCGCUUUACAAUCGGCAAAAGAGGCAUUCGGCGAAAGAAACGUACAAACAGCAAAACAUUAUGGAAAUUUGGGACGUGUGUAUCAAAGCAUGAGGAAAUGUAAGGAAGCCGAAGCAAUGCAUCUUAAAGCUAUACGUAUUAAAGAAGAAUUAUUAGGACCAGAUGAUCACGAAGUUGGAUUGAGUAUAGGACACUUAGCUUCGUUAUAUAAUUACCACAUGAACCGAUACAAAGACGCUGAGAAGCUUUAUUAUAGGAGUAUCGAAAUUAGUUUAAAAUUGUUCGGUAAAAGCUAUAGUGGCCUAGAAUAUGAUUAUCAUGGACUUUUAAACGUUUACACAAAACUGAACGAAUACCCCAAGGUUCUAAAAUAUGCAACAAUAUUAAAUAAUUGGAAAAUGUUAAGAGAUAAACACUUGGAAUCGGAAGAACCAACGAUUGAUCCUAAAAGACGGCCACAACCAAUAAAAGAAAUAAUCGAAACAUUCUUUUCUAUGUAAUAUAGCUGUAUAUUAAUGUUUUAAUAAUCACUGUCUCGCCGAUUGACGUAUAAUUGAUUCCAACUUUGUUGGAGUAACUCGGGCCAAAGUAUGAAUGAAAUCACGAGUUACGUUAUAUGACCCAGGAUACCGUAAAUCAUAUAUUUGGGGCAGUAUCGUUAAGAUUCUUCAAAAAUAGUCACAUGAACUUCGUGUUUCUUCUUUGUACCUCACCAUUUUAUGACUUACAAGAUAUUAAACAAAAAUUCUCAAAUACUACUUGGUUUAUCGGAUAACUAUAACUACAAUUAUUUUUAUAAAAUCUAAUUGUAUUUUUUAUUCACAAAUUUUGUGAAAUCGAAUAUGUGAUAUGUGAUGUACUGUUACUUUUUAUUGAUAUUUUGUUCCUAUACAAACAUUGUAAUAAAUGACGAAUCUAGAUAAAUUUUUUGGAUUUCAGAAUAAUAAAUUAAAAAAAAAUAAUAUAACAGGAAUAUAUGUACAGAUUUGUGCUUUUAAAAUAAACGUAAAAACGAA